UACGAAGGGGGCUAGCGUUGCUCGGAUUCACUGGGCGUAAAGGGUGCGUAGGUGGUCGGGUAAGUCUGUUGUGAAAAUGCGGGGCUCAACCCCGUAUUGCGAUGGAAACUGGGUUUCUUGAGUGCAGGAGAGGAAAGGGGAAUUCCCAGUGUAGCGGUGAAAUGCGUAGAUAUUGCCAGGAACACCAAUGGCGAAGGCAGCUUGCUGGGCCACCCCUGACGCUGAGACACGAAAGCGUGGGGAGCGAACA
rnacentral:rRNA from 1 species